CCUAUCAUCCAGUGUGGUCGCGGCCCCCGGGUUCUUCCCGGGCGGUAGAGGUAACACUCUCACGCGCCACGCGUUUGAAUCCUUUUUUUACGAGCACCUUUCGUUCUCCUUCGGUGGGGCAACCUGCCGUUGGAAUUAUACAAAAACCUUUUUUGCAUCUAGCAUUACCUGUUCCGAUAACAAACAAUCGUUA
rnacentral:misc_RNA from 1 species